GAUUCCCCUAGUAACUGCGAGUGAAGCGGGAAAAGCUCAAAUUUAAAAUCUGGCGGUCUUUGGCCGUCCGAGUUGUAGUCUGGAGAAGCGUCUUCCGCGUUGGACCGUGUACAAGUCUCUUGGAACAGAGCGUCAUAGAGGGUGAGAAUCCCGUCUUUGACACGGACUACCAAUGCUUUGUGAUGCGCUCUCAAAGAGUCGCGUUGUUUGGGAAUGCAGCGCAAAAUGGGAGGUGAAUUCCUUCUAAAGCUAAAUAUUGGCGAGAGACCGAUAGCGAACAAGUACCGUGAGGGAAAGAUGAAAAGCACUUUGGAAAGAGAGUUAAACAGUACGUGAAAUUGCUAAAAGGGAAACGCUUGAAGUCAGUCGCGUCGUCCGGAACUCAGCUUUGCUUCGGCUUAGUGCACUUUCCGGUUGACGGGCCAGCAUCGAUUUUGACCGCUGGAAAAGGGCUGGAGGAAUGUGGCACCUUCGGGUGUGUUAUAGCCUUCAGUCGCAUACAGCGGUUGGGAUCGAGGAACGCAGCACGCCUUAUGGCUGGGGUUCGCCCACAUUNNNNNGCUUAGGAUGCUGGCAUAAUGGCUUAAACGC
rnacentral:rRNA from 1 species